UAGCAAAGGAGUGUGAUUAAGGAGAGGUAUUAGGUGGCAGAUUGGGGGUCUUUACAUAAAAGAAAUGUUUUUAAAUUCUAGAAUUUCCCCUUCCAAUUAGGUUAUAGCAGAGGAAGAAAUUUAAUUUUUUUCUACUUGAAGUGCUCAUUUCAGGCUCAUCAGCAAUGAGCUAUCUUUGGUGAUAGCUGCUGUAAAUGUACUCUUGGGAAACUGAUUUAAGAAACUGAAGCUCUUCAAGGCACAUAGUUUUCCAAGAAAAUCAUAGUUUGGGGUGGAAUAAGGCCUUUCUUUCCUUGGAGCUGCACAAGCACAACAGCUCAGAAGCCAAGAGAUUGCUAGUUGUGGUGCAAACAGAAGUGCUCAACUUCUUCUCUGGAUGCAGCCAAAACCAGAGUGACACUUACUUUGGAUAUUCUGCUGCAUUAUGGAAGUAGACAGAUAAGGAAGUUUAGACAAUAAGAUCCUUCAUCCUUAUGGUGAUUAUUGCUCCCCCUAUUCAUCACAAGGCCAAAGUGGUGCACAAGAUAGACCUCCUAAUCAAAUUAAUUACUCAGUAGAAUUGGAAUACAAAAUACCCACGCGCGCUUAAAUGAAGAGAACCAAAAUAUAUCAUCAUACCAGAUGCUCUGAAGAAAAUAAUUACGUCCCAGCUGAAACUAAC
ensembl:lncRNA